GAGCCAGGGGGCGUGGGGCCAUGGUGGCCUUGCGGGCGGGGAAGAAGACCUUUCUCCCCCGUCUCUGCCGCGCCUUCGCCUGCCGCGGCUGUCAACUCGCUCCGGAGCGCGGCGCCGAGCGCAGGGAUACGGCGCCCAGCGGGGUCUCAAGAUUCUACCCUCCAAGAAAGUCUUGCCAUGAUUGGAUAGGACCCCCAGAUAAAUAUUCAAACCUUCGACCUGUUCACUUUUACAUACCUGAAAAUGAAUCUCCAUUGGAACAAAAGCUUAGAAAAUUAAGACAAGAAACACAAGAAUGGAAUCAACAGUUCUGGGCAAACCAGAAUUUGACUUUUAGUAAGGAAAAAGAAGAAUUUAUUCACUCAAGACUAAAAACUAAAGGCCUGGGCCUGAGAACUGAAUCAGGUUAGUGCGUUUGUUUGGUUUUUUUUUUUUGCUUGCUUUCUUUGGGU
rnacentral:sRNA from 1 species